CAUCGGCUCUGUCGAUAAGGUCCACCUGUGACCUUCUGCCUACAGUGCGGCGCUGUGCCCUUGAGUCGUUACAAUAUCCACUGACUUAAUUAUGCAGGAUGUUGCUGUUUGCAAAAGAGAGGAAUGUCGAAGUCUUCCACCCAAGAAAGGUGACUCAUUGGCUCUGACCUUAAGGGACACCUGACCUGCCUACAGUGCAGUGCUGUGCCCUUGAGUCGUUGCCAGGCACCAGGAGAGAACUUCAGUGAGGAAGGAAGGGCAGCUACAAGAAUAAUGAGAGGGAAGGGAAAUGAGAAAUUGUGGAUGAAUGGACUCAGGAAGACAAAAGCACUUGGAGAUAUCUUAGAACUAUUCUGAGCUGUUAAAUAGAGAAGCCCAAGUAAAUUCUGUUUUGCACCAGCUAUGACAGUGGAGGAACCGACGCUAAUUUGUUUUAAUUUUAAUUU